rnacentral:piRNA from 1 species
UUGGGAAACCUAACAUAAUCUUGAAUGUAC